GACGGAGGGUGCUAGCGUUGUUCGGAAUUACUGGGCGUAAAGGGCGCGUAGGCGGCUACGGCAGUCGGGUGUGAAAGCCCGGGGCUCAACCCCGGAACGGCACCCGAUACUCUGUGGCUCGAGACCGGGAGAGGUGGGUGGAAUACCCAGUGUAGAGGUGAAAUUCGUAGAUAUUGGGUGGAACACCGGUGGCGAAAGCGGCUGCACUGGCCCGGUUCUGACGCUGAGGCGCGAAAGCGUGGGGAGCAACAGG
rnacentral:rRNA from 1 species